rnacentral:rRNA from 1 species
AUGAACGCUGGCGGCGUGCCUAAUACAUGCAAGUCGAACGAAACUUCUUUAUCCCCGAGUGCUUGCACUCACCGAUAAAGAGUUGAGUGGCGAACGGGUGAGUAACACGUGGGCAACCUGCCCAAAAGAGGGGGAUAACACUUGGAAACAGGUGCUAAUACCGCAUAACCAUAGUUACCGCAUGGUAACUAUGUAAAAGGUGGCUAUACUACCGCUUUUGGAUGGGCCCGCGGCGCAUUAGCUAGUUGGUAGGGUAAAGGCUUACCAAGGCAAUGAUGCGUAGCCGAAUUGAGAGGUUGAUCGGCCACAUUGGGACUGAGACACGGCCCAAACUCCUACGGGAGGCAGCAGUAGGGAAUCUUCCACAAUGGGCGAAAGCCUGAUGGAGCAACGCCGCGUGGGUGAAGAAGGUCUUCGGAUCGUAAAACCCUGUUGUUAGAGAAGAAAGUGCGUGAGAGUAACUGUUCACGUUUCGACGGUAUCUAACCGGAAAGCCACGGCUAACUACGUG